GACGAACGCUUGCGGCGUGCCUAAGAAAUGCAAGUCGAGCGGAGCUGAAGGAUGAAUUAUGAAGGAUGAGGGAUGAUCAUCCUUCCGCCUUCAUCAUUCAUUCUUCAGCUUAGCGGCGAACGGUCGCGUAACACGUAAGCAACCUGCCUCAAAGACCGGACAACAUCUCGAAAGGGGUGCUAAUACCGGAUGUGGCCGAAGGGGACGAUCCUUCUUCGAUUAAANCCAGCAAUGGGCUUUGUAGAGGGGCGUUGCGUCCUAUCAGCUAGUUGGUGGGGUAACGGCCUACCAAGGCGACGACGGGUAGCUGGUCUGAGAGGACGAUCAGCCGGACUGGGACUGAGAUACGGCCCAGACUCCUACGGGGGCANCAAUUAGGAAUCUUGCACAAUGGGCGAAAAGCCUGAUGCAGCGACGCCGCGU
rnacentral:rRNA from 1 species